rnacentral:tRNA from 1 species
AAAAUCCGUCGACUUUAGAAAUCGUGAGGGUUCAAGUCCCUCUAUCCCCCCAAAAAGUCCGAUUUGACUAUUUCUCCUACCCUCUCUUUUUUUUAGUGGUUCCAAAUUUGUUCUCUUUCUCAUUCAUUCUACCUUUUUACAAACGUAUCAGAGCAGAAUUUUUUUCUUUUAUCACAAUCACAAGUGGUGUGGUAUAUAUGAUAUACGUACAAAUGAACAUCUUUGAACAAAGAAUCCCGAUUCACAAUUCAUAUCAUUGCUCAUACUGAAACUUAUAAAUUAUUCUAUUCAAGAAAUCGAAUUCCACGCUCAAGACUUUUAAUACUUUUUUAUCUUUUUUAAUUGACAUAGACCCCAGUCAUCUAGUAAAAUAAGGAUGAUGCGCCGGUAAUGGUCGGGAUAGCUCAGCUGGUAGAGCAGAGGACUGAAAAUCCUCGUGUCACCAGUA